rnacentral:snRNA from 1 species
GGAUACGAGAGCGAUCUGGCUGCGAUAUCUGUCAGGCCAUUGAUUGUCAGGGUUGAUUUGGCUGAUCUGGCUGGCUAGGCGAGUGUCCCCUUCCUCCCUCAGUGCUCUACGUGCGUCCCUCCCGAAGCUGUGCGCUUGGUCCAAGAGGACGGCCCUCCCAAUAGAGGAGGACUGGUCUUCAGUCAGGGGUAUACGAGUAGCUGCGCUCCCCUGCUAGAACCUCCAAACAAGCUCUCAAGAAUACAUAUUUGAAUGGGCAUAUAUGUGCCCUCUGUAAUGUACAUGUGUAUGUAUGCCUCCCCUGUGCUAUGUAUCUUUAUUUCCUGGCACAUGGGCAUUGUAU